GAUGAAGAACGUAGCGAAAUGCGAUAAGUAGUGUGAAUUGCAGAAUUCAGUGAAUCAUCGAAUCUUUGAACGCACAUUGCGCCCUUUGGUAUUCCUUAGGGCAUGCCUGUUCGAGCGUCAUUUAAACCUUCAAGCUAAGCUUGGUGUUGGGUGACUGUCCGCUUCACUGCGGACUCGCCUCAAAAUUAUUGGCGGCCGGUACAUUGGCUUCGAGCGCAGCAGAAACGCGAACUCGGGCCCGUCGUAUUGGCUCCCAGAAGCUAUCUUCACAAUUUUGACCUCGGAUCAGGUAGGGAUACCCGCUGAGCUUAAGCAUAUCAAUAAGCGGAGGA
rnacentral:misc_RNA from 1 species